UACGUAGGGUGCAAGCGUUGUCCGGAAUUAUUGGGCGUAAAGAGCUCGUAGGCGGUCUGUCGCGUCUGCUGUGAAAACCUGGGGCUUAACCCCGGGCCUGCAGUGGGUACGGGCAGACUAGAGUGCGGUAGGGGAGACUGGAAUUCCUGGUGUAGCGGUGAAAUGCGCAGAUAUCAGGAGGAACACCGGUGGCGAAGGCGGGUCUCUGGGCAUUAACUGACGCUGAGGAGCGAAAGCAUGGGGAGCGAACAGG
rnacentral:rRNA from 1 species